CGGGACGGGUGAGUAACGCGUGGGUAACCUGCCUUAUACAGGGGGAUAACAGUCAGAAAUGGCUGCUAAUACCGCAUAAGCGCACAGAGCUGCAUGGCUCAGUGUGAAAAACUCCGGUGGUAUAAGAUGGACCCGCGUUGGAUUAGCUUGUUGGCAGGGUAACGGCCUACCAAGGCGACGAUCCAUAGCCGGCCUGAGAGGGUGAACGGCCACAUUGGGACUGAGACACGGCCCAGACUCCUACGGGAGGCAGCAUG
rnacentral:rRNA from 1 species